AAUGGAGACAUUUUUUAAGUGCUGGAGAGGGAGAGAUGGAGAACUGAUCUAGAAGGGAGAGCACUAGAUAUCAGCAUUUUUUGUCUUAAAAGUAGUCACUAGCCAAGCUUUCCUAUCUUCUUUCAGAUUAGGUUGUGCUUUGAAAGGGAUGAACACAGUUAACACACCAGAGAGGGGACUGGUGCUACAUUCUUCUGGAGACUGAAGUAGGGAAGAGGUUGGUUUUCUACCUUUGAAAAAGGGCAGAUCCACCAACCAACCAAUCAGUAGCACUGCCAAGCAAGAACUUUCCAACUCAAAAUACAUGUUUGUUGCCCAGUUUUAUAUCUGGACUACCCACACUGUAAGGGUACCACAAAAAGAGAAGGAACAGGAACAAAGGAAAGGCUACCAAGCAUUCCCAUGGAAAAGUUGAAACAGCAACAAAUCGGUUGGCAUCACUUUGGCCUAACUGUGGAAAUGGAACCCAAACUAUACUCCCCAAAAUGGCAGAGAAUACUGCCCCAUCCCACGGAGGUAGGGCGUGGCCACGAUUUGUUAUGGCCAGUGGAGUGUUGGCAGAUGUGAUGCACGCAGAAGGCACAAACCAUACUUGUGUGGUUGGGCUUGCCUUCUUGUGCUUCUACCAUCAGUGUGGAAACUUCUGUAUAACUUUUCUAUUUUAGCCCAGGCCCAAGAAUGAACAUAGAUGGGAGCAACUGGAAGCACAACUCACAGCAGGUAGUAAAGCCCAGCCAGAGACCCAGCUUGAAGCAGUUACCCACACAAGCUGAUGUCAGCCAAUCUGCAGAGGCAUGAGUAAGAGUGAUUAAACAACUUAGAUUUGGGGUGGUUAGGUGGCAACAGCAACUGAAAUGUAAGAAGACAUCAUUCUUUUAGGAUCCACUCCUGAGGGCAAACUAUGUUACCUCCCCCUUUACUGCUGUAUGCCAAGAGCCUAGCACAGUUCCUGGCACAUAGCAGGUGUUCAAUAAACACCUGUUGCAGUCAGAUUUACAUGUUUCUCCUAAAAAUAAUCUAGGAGAAUAAAAUGAGGGGAACUUACAUAAUUUAGUAUUCAGUGUGUGUCUCAACUUCAAAAUCAACAAUUUCAACAAAGACCAGAUUGCACGUCAGCAGUCAUUAGGGGGUUAAGAGCACCGACAAUGGACAUGACUGCCUGGAUUUGAAUCUAGGCUUCACAAAUUACCAGCCAGGUGACCUUGGGCAAACACUACUUCAUCUCCCCCUUUCCUCAUCUGUUAAAUGGUGCUAUAAAUAGUACCUACCACGUAGAACAGUUGUGUGGGUUAAGAGAUAAUUUAUUUCAAGUACUUACAACCUUGCCUGGUACAUGAUAAAUGCUGCAUAGGCAUUUUCUAUUAUUAUUACCUGCAUAAAGACCACUUUGAGAAAGGUUAUUAAAGCCCUCUUCACCUGUUCCUCCCAUCGCCUAUUUAUAUCUACUUGUUCUCACUUCUAUUAUCUAAUCUUGUACGUGUUUCCAAUUAGCUCUCUUGUAUAUUUUCAUCAUCUUUCCAUGCUCAGGAUUGCUAAGUGCCAAUAUAUCUACUCUAUCCCAGAGCGCCCCUCCACCAACUCCACCAACCAUUUAAAGAGCUGCUGAUUUUGUUCUUUUCACAUAGGGUUUGCACCCUUCUCCAUCUGUUCAAAUCUGAUUCUCAAUGUCCGCACCUAGUCUUCCAUGACGCCUGUUCUGAUCUUCCCUCCCAAUGUGAUCUUAUUCUGUACCUUUUAUCAAUUAAUCUCUACCUCAAUUACACUUUUAUUACUUUCUACUUAUACCUUUCCACAAUGAAAUUAAUUGUAAGCUCCUAAAGGACAAGAUCACAAUUUCUUGGUUUUCUGCCCAUUCCCACUCCCAAGUAUACAGCAGGCAAGCAGUAUUUGUUGAAUAAAUAUAUUUGAAAAUCCCAUAUAGAUAGGUUCAUUUAAGUCUAAAACAACUUUGCUAAAAAGUCAUUUUUUUAUUAGAAAAGGAAAAAAAACUUGUCAAUUCAAUGCUAGACAGUUUAAGGGAAAAGAAGUUUGCAUGUAAAAGAGACAGACACUUGAU
rnacentral:lncRNA from 10 species